ACGCUCGACACCUACGGGAGGCAGCAGUGGGGAAUAUUGCACAAUGGGGGAAACCCUGAUGCAGCGACGCCGCGUGAGCGAAGAAGUAUUUCGGUAUGUAAAGCUCUAUCAGCAGGGAAGAAGAAAGACGGUACCUGACUAAGAAGCCCCGGCUAACUACGUACCAGCGGCCGCGGUAAUCUGAGCGGGCUGGCAAGGC
rnacentral:rRNA from 1 species